GACGAACGCUGGCGGCGUGCUUAACACAUGCAAGUCGAACGGAAAGGCCUCUUUCGGGGGGUACUCGAGUGGCGAACGGGUGAGUAACACGUGAGUAACCUGCCCUUGACUUUGGGAUAACUUCAGGAAACUGGGGCUAAUACCGGAUAGGAGCUCCUGCUGCAUGGUGGGGGUUGGAAAGUUUCGGCGGUUGGGGAUGGACUCGCGGCUUAUCAGCUUGUUGGUGGGGUAGUGGCUUACCAAGGCUUUGACGGGUAGCCGGCCUGAGAGGGUGACCGGCCACAUUGGGACUGAGAUACGGCCCAGACUCCUACGGGAGGCAGCAGUGGGGAAUAUUGCACAAUGGGUGGAAGCCUGAGGCAGCAACGCCGUGUGCGGGAUGACGGCCUUCGGGUUGUAAACCGCUUUCGCUCAUGACGAAGCUUUGUGUGACGGUAGUGGGUAAAGAAGCACCGGCUAACUACG
rnacentral:rRNA from 1 species